GUUACCACUAGAGGUGUUGCAGGUAUGGCUGCCGUAUCACAUGUAUGUUGGUGGGUGGCAGAGAGGAGAGAGACUAUGUCUAUGUUCAGUGUUCUAACCUAUGAAUAUUAGUAACCUAAUAUU
rnacentral:snoRNA from 1 species